GUUCUAUAUAUGAUAUCAUUGUUUUUGUGUAUGAAUUGAAUUGAGUUUCGAAAUUUGUAUUUGGUUGUAAUGUAGGAUUUGAAGACAAAGGAGGAGCUGCAGGCUAAGGAGGCCGAACUGAAUAAAAUUGAACGGAUGACCAUCUUUCAACUAGUCGUGGAGUAUCUUAUGUGCAACUAAGAAAUAAUCUUCCAUCACCAACAAAAUCAGUUCACCUUUUGCAUUAGCAGAAAAGUAGUUCUACCAAGGUGGAAGCUGAAUUCAAGAACCUCUUGGAAGGAUUGCACAAAUUUGUGAUGGCAGGUCUAUCAAAGUCAGACAGAGGAGAUGAGCCAGACACUUUAAAUUUUCGGAGUUAAUUUGUGGCAACCAUUUCAGAGGAGGGUAUGCCAAUGAUAUUCUCUGUGAGCAACAAAAUAAAAGGGAGAGAGGUUAGAGCUCACAAAAGCUGCAGUAGUUGACGCUCGCAAAAUGGUCUCGACGAGAACCAUUGCCGACAAAGUAUGCAGGGAAGGCCUCUCUAAGAGUUGCAAGCAAGUUGAAUUUCUGUAUUUUCCCCUUUCAGCGGGAUCCAAUGUUCAUCCAGGAGUGUUCUUGUGACAACUAAAAACAUAGAAUUCUUAACUACCUCAACAUACAUACAUCUGUAGAAUCCAACAUCGGAGUUUAAAAGUAAAGAAAGAACCGUUCUUGAACUACUUGUGAUCACCCAUUUUUUGGGUAUGUGUUUUUGUACAAGAAUCUAUAUGCAAUUUGUUGUAAUUCUUGAAAAUACCUUGCUGAACAAUUAGCUUUUUCACUAGAAAGGGUCAGUUGCCAACAUUGGAGAAGGUAAGGAUACAGCAGAACUUGGGUUUUAUUUUUGAAAUUGGUGAGUGUCAAUAGUUUCAAAUUUU